AUUGAACGCUGGCGGCAGGCCUAACACAUGCAAGUCGAACGAGUGGCGGACGGGUGAGUAAUAUCUGGGAAAGUGCCUGAUGGAGGGGGACAACUACUGGAAAGGGUAGCUAAUACCGCAUACCAUCGGAUGUGCCCAGAUGGGAUUAGCUAGUUGGUGGGGUAAAGGCUCACCUAGGCGACGAUCCCUAGCUGGUCUGAGAGGAUGACCAGCCACACUGGAACUGAGACACGGCCCAGACUCCUACGGGAGGCAGCAGUGGGGAAUAUUGGACAAUGGGCGCAAGCCUGAUGCAGCCAUGCCGCGUGUAUGAAGAAGGCCUUCGGGUUGUAAAGUACUUUCAGCGGGGAGGCGUUACCCGCAGAAGAAGCACCGGCUAACUCCGUGCCAGCAGCCGCGGUAAUAC
rnacentral:rRNA from 1 species